UACGUAGGGUGCGAGCGUUAAUCGGAAUUACUGGGCGUAAAGCGUGCGCAGGCAGUUUUGUAAGCCGGAUGUGAAAUCCCCGGGCUUAACCUGGGAAUGGCAUUCGGGACUGCAAGGCUGGAGUGCGGCAGAGGAGACUGGAAUUCCUGGUGUAGCAGUGAAAUGCGUAGAUAUCAGGAGGAACACCGAUGGCGAAGGCAGGUCUCUGGGCUGACACUGACGCUCAUGCACGAAAGCGUGGGGAGCAAACAGG
rnacentral:rRNA from 1 species